rnacentral:lncRNA from 1 species
GUGGGUUGUACCGGUUAGUACGCAGAUUCUCGCAGGACCGUACGUGAACUUUAACAAUCUUUAGAUGCAAGCGAUCAAGGGUGGUGAAUGGUGGAUUUUGGAUGGAUUACAGCCCAUCACCACUUUCAACAUACGGUGGACCGCACAGCCUUACCUGCAUCUUGAGGCAAACACAGCUUUUAUUAAAGUUUAGUAUGUACUAUCGAAAUAAAGUUCAUGCUGAACAGCGAGGCAAAGUAAAUCAAGAUGUCGCCAUGCUG